GAUGAACGCUGGCGGCGUGCCUAAUACAUGCAAGUCGAGCGAACAGACGAGGAGCUUGAGCCUCUGACGUUAGCGGCGGACGGGUGAGUAACACGUGGAUAACCUACCUAUAAGACUGGGAUAACUUCGGGAAACCGGAGCUAAUACCGGAUAAUAUAUUGAACCGCAUGGUUCAAUAGUGAAAGACGGUUUUGCUGUCACUUAUAGAUGGAUCCGCGCCGCAUUAGCUAGUUGGUAAGGUAACGGCUUACCAAGGCAACGAUGCGUAGCCGACCUGAGAGGGUGAUCGGCCACACUGGAACUGAGACACGGUCCAGACUCCUACGGGAGGCAGCAGUAGGGAAUCUUCCGCAAUGGGCGAAAGCCUGACGGAGCCACGCCGCGUGAGUGAUGAAGGUCCUCGGCUCGUAAAACCCUGUUAUCAGGGAAUACCAUAUGCGUAAUGAACUACGCACUUCGGCACGGUACCUACGCAGAAACCUCCGGCUAACCACGUG
rnacentral:rRNA from 1 species